rnacentral:rRNA from 1 species
GUGCCAGCCGCCGCGGUAAUACGUAGGGUCCAAGCGUUAAUCGGAAUUACUGGGCGUAAAGCGUGCGCAGGCGGUUGUGCAAGACCGAUGUGAAAUCCCCGGGCUUAACCUGGGAAUUGCAUUGGUGACUGCACGGCUAGAGUGUGUCAGAGGGGGGUAGAAUUCCACGUGUAGCAGUGAAAUGCGUAGAGAUGUGGAGGAAUACCGAUGGCGAAGGCAGCCCCCUGGGAUAACACUGACGCUCAUGCACGAAAGCGUGGGGAGCAAACAGGAUUAGAUACCCUCGUAGUCC